AACCGGCCUCCACCGCCCUCUGAGGUGGUAGAUUGGCUGUUUAAGGGGUGGGAAGUUUGGGUGUGUUACACUCCUCCCCUUCCACCCCUUUGCACUAACUGCAAAAAUCAUGAUGGUUUGGGACUUGGUUCAUUGGGCACUGUUUGCCACAUGCCACAAUUUAAAAAAAAAUUGGGUUCAUUGGAAAAUAUAUUUUAAUACUGUAACACCUUUAAAAAAAAAAAAAAGAAGUAAACAGUGCAUUGGGUUAGGAAUUGCAUCCAAAAAUCUGGAAAAUUAGCCAAUUUGGCACUGCAAAAGUCCCGAGUGCCGGGUUAUCCGUUAUUUAUGAAGGUGAUCAGUGCAGCAAUGACUGGAUUUCCCCCAAGUGUGGUUGGGCAUUCAGCAUAACACGUUUAUUCUAUAAAUGGGAAUCAAAUAUAUAUUGACUCCACCUGAGUUACUGCUAGUUCAGUAGAUAUGAUUUGCUUCCUUUUCUCUCCAACCUCACCCUACCAACCACACCACACCUGUCAGAAGUCAAUGAGUGAACCCUGGCUGGCAACAUCCAGGCCUGUGUUCAAAUCUCUGCUCAGGGUUGACACAGGAAGCCUGGACCGCAUGCAUACAUUGACGUUGCAUGCCUCCUGCCUACGCUGCACUUGGGGAUCUUCCAUGGCCCCUCUAGUCUGUUGCAUUUGUGCCAUUUGGAGCCUGCAGUCCAAAGGAGAACCAAAAGGCAUCAAUGUUUCUAUUUGAUCCGAUCACUCCAAGCAAGUGUAUGUUACACUCAGCAGUACAGAUCAAGAAGAAUCCAAUGGGCAAAUGUGAAAGGUUACACAGCUAUGCUUGGAGACUUCUGUGCAAAAUAUUUGAUCAGAAGCAUUAAAAAAUACCAAUCAUUGCCGUUGGUAGACCACAAAUCCUCUGUUCUGCUUCUCCAUUACAACUACGUUUAAAAUUCAAUGGCUGUCAAAACUGAAUAAACAUGAUUCAACUGUG